UAGGGGUGAAAGGCCAAUCAAACUCGGAGAUAGCUGGUUCUCUGCGAAAUCUAUUUAGGUAGAGCGUCAUCCGAAUACCCUCGGGGGUAGAGCACUGGAUGGGUAAUGGGGCCCCACAGGCUUACUGAUCCUAACCAAACUCCGAAUACCGAGGAGUACUAGAUGGCAGACACACGGCGAAUGCUAACGUCCGUCGUGAAGAGGGAAACAACCCUGACCUACAGCUAAGGCCCCUAAUUCAUGGCUAAGUGGGAAAGCAGGUGAGACGACCAAAACAACCAGGAAGUUGGCUUAGAAGCAGCCAUCUUUUAAAGAUAGCGUAACAGCUCACUGGUCUAAUCAAGUUGUCCUGCGGCGAAGAUGUAACGGGGCUCAAGCCAUGAGCCGAAGCUUAGGAUGCACUUAGUGCAUGGUAGCAGAGCGUAGUGUG
rnacentral:rRNA from 9 species